AUGAACGCUAGCUACAGGCUUAACACAUGCAAGUCGAGGGGCAGCAUGGUCUUAGCUUGCUAAGGCCGAUGGCGACCGGCGCACGGGUGAGUAACACGUAUCCAACCUGCCGUCUACUCUUGGACAGCCUUCUGAAAGGAAGAUUAAUACAAGAUGGCAUCAUGAGUCCACAUGUUCACAUGAUUAAAGGUAUUCCGGUAGACGAUGGGGAUGCGUUCCAUUAGAUAGUAGGCGGGGUAACGGCCCACCUAGUCUUCGAUGGAUAGGGGUUCUGAGAGGAAGGUCCCCCACAUUGGAACUGAGACACGGUCCAAACUCCUACGGGAGGCAGCAGUGAGGAAUAUUGGUCAAUGGGCGAGAGCCUGAACCAGCCAAGUAGCGUGAAGGAUGACUGCCCUAUGGGUUGUAAACUUCUUUUAUAAAGGAAUAAAGUCGGGUAUGGAUACCCGUUUGCAUGUACUUUAUGAAUAAGGAUCGGCUAACUCCGUGCCAGCAGCCGCGGUAAUACGGAGGAUCCGAGCGUUAUCCGGAUUUAUUGGGUUUAAAGGGAGCGUAGAUGGAUGUUUAAGUCAGUUGUGAAAGUUUGCGGCUCAACCGUAAAAUUGCAGUUGAUACUGGAUAUCUUGAGUGCAGUUGAGGCAGGCGGAAUUCGUGGUGUAGCGGUGAAAUGCUUAGAUAUCACGAAGAACUCCGAUUGCGAAGGCAGCCUGCUAAGCUGCAACUGACAUUGAGGCUCGAAAGUGUGGGUAUCAAACAGGAUUAGAUACCAUGGUAGUCCACACGGUAAACGAUGAAUACUCGCUGUUUGCGAUAUACGGCAAGCGGCCAAGCGAAAGCGUUAAGUAUUCCACCUGGGGAGUACGCCGGCAACGGUGAAACUCAAAGGAAUUGACGGGGGCCCGCACAAGCGGAGGAACAUGUGGUUUAAUUCGAUGAUACGCGAGGAACCUUACCCGGGCUUAAAUUGCAGAUGAAUUACGGUGAAAGCCGUAAGCCGCAAGGCAUCUGUGAAGGUGCUGCAUGGUUGUCGUCAGCUCGUGCCGUGAGGUGUCGGCUUAAGUGCCAUAACGAGCGCAACCCUUGUUGUCAGUUACUAACAGGUUCCGCUGAGGACUCUGACAAGACUGCCAUCGUAAGAUGUGAGGAAGGUGGGGAUGACGUCAAAUCAGCACGGCCCUUACGUCCGGGGCUACACACGUGUUACAAUGGGGGGUACAGAGGGCCGCUACCACGCGAGUGGAUGCCAAUCCCAAAAACCUCUCUCAGUUCGGACUGGAGUCUGCAACCCGACUCCACGAAGCUGGAUUCGCUAGUAAUCGCGCAUCAGCCACGGCGCGGUGAAUACGUUCCCGGGCCUUGUACACACCGCCCGUCAAGCCAUGGGAGCCGGGGGUACCUGAAGUGCGUAACCGCGAGGAGCGCCCUAGGGUAAAACUGGUGACUGGGGCU
rnacentral:rRNA from 1 species